rnacentral:rRNA from 1 species
UACGUAGGUGGCAAGCGUUGUCCGGAAUUAUUGGGCGUAAAGCGCGCGCAGGCGGUCCUUUAAGUCUGCUGUGAAAGCCCACGGCUCAACCGUGGAGGGUCAUUGGAAACUGGGGGACUUGAGUGCAGAAGAGGAAAGUGGAAUUCCACGUGUAGCGGUGAAAUGCGUAGAGAUGUGGAGGAACACCAGUGGCGAAGGCGACUUUCUGGUCUGUAACUGACGCUGAGGCGCGAAAGCGUGGGGAGCAAACAGG